rnacentral:rRNA from 1 species
GACGAACGCUGGCGGCGUGCCUAAUACAUGCAAGUAGGACGCAGUUGCGAACGGGUGAGUAACGCGUAGGUAACUGCCUAUUAGAGGGGGAUAACUAUUGGAAACGAUAGCUAAUACCGCAUACUAGUAGAUGGACCUGCGUUGUAUUAGCUAGUAGGUAGGGUAAUGGCCUACCUAGGCAACGAUACAUAUCCGACCCGAUAGGGGGAGCGGCAACACUGGGACUGAUAAACGGCCCAGACUCCUACGGGAGGCAGCAGUAGGGAAUCUUCGGCAAUGGGGGGAACCCUGACCGAGCAACGCCGCUGUAGUGAAGAAGGUUGUCGGAUCUUAAAGCUCUGUUGUUAAGGAAGCGGUACUUAACCAGAAAGGGACGGCUAACUACGUGCCAGCCGCCGCGGUAAUAC